AUUGAACGCUGGCGGCAUGCCUAACACAUGCAAGUCGAACGAGUGGCGGACGGGUGGGUAAUGUCUGGACACCUGCCUGAUGGAGGGGGAUAACUACUGGAAACGGUGGCUAAUACCGCAUACCAUCAGAUGUGCCCCGGGGGGAUUAGCUGGUUGGUGGGGUAACGGCUCACCAAGGCGACGAUCCCUAGCUGGUCUGAGAGGAUGACCAGCCACACUGGAACUGAGACACGGUCCAGACUCCUACGGGAGGCAGCAGUGGGGAAUAUUGCACAAUGGGCGAAAGCCUGAUGGAGCCACGCCGCGUGUAUGAAGAAGGCCUUCGGGUUGUAAAGUACUUUCAGCGGGGAGGCGUUACCCGCAGAAGAAGCACCGGCUAACUCCGUGCCAGCAGCCGCGGUAAUAC
rnacentral:rRNA from 1 species